UACGUAGGGUGCGAGCGUUGCCCGGAUUUAUUGGGCGUAAAGGGCGCGUAGGCGGCUCUGCACGUCCGUUGUGAAAUCGCCCGGCUCAACUGGGAAACUGCAUCGGAAACUGAUCGGCUUGAAGAUGGGAGAGGGUAGUGGAAUUCCCGGUGUAGUGGUGAAAUGCGUAGAUAUCGGGAGGAACACCAGUGGCGAAGGCGACUACCUGGCCCAUUCUUGACGCUGAGGCGCGAAAGCUAGGGGAGCGAACGGG
rnacentral:rRNA from 1 species